GGAGAGAUGGCCGAGUGGUCGAAGGCACACGACUCGAAAUCGUGCGUACCGCCAAAAGCGGUACCGUGGGUUCGAAUCCCACUCUCUCCGCCA
rnacentral:tRNA from 3 species